rfam:Thermoplasmatales archaeon BRNA1, complete genome.
UAGACCGACGCCAAGAGGCCCAACGAGCAGUGCGGACACGAGAAGACAAUCACAGGAAUCCUUCCGGGAAUGACCGGGGCAUCCAACAUCUACGGAUCCG